ACACACGCACACACACAGUGUUAAAUGACAGAAUGAGGUCUCAAACAUACGGCGCGGCAUCUUUUAGCACACGAAUGACAACAGAAAUAUCAGUUCUAUAAAUAAGUGUGCACUCCUAAGUUAGCAUGGUGUUAGCCCCGGCUAGCUCCAUGCUAACGAGCUAGCAGGCAGCUCGAGGCACACGUAAGCACGGCAAGGAGCCACUGCUAAGUGGCUAAUUGAGGUCAACCCGGACGCCAAAACACAAAAGCUUCGGACAAAACGGUAGCUACGAUGGUGAAUAAUUUGUAAUUUAUUCCACGUGUCGAUAAACAUGUGUCCCUCCGGUCUGUCCACGUGCUUUAGGCAGCACAGCAGCCGGGUCGGAUGUAAACAAGGAAGCAUUUCAGUCUCCAACACGCACAAAGGAAAACAAAUGCAUGCAAAUAGAGUCAUUCUAUCAAUAGCCACCACUAUACACGUUUCAUAUUUAAUGCCGGGGACUGCGAGCUCACCUUUAUCCAACAAACGGUGGGGUUAUAAGAACCGGAGGAGCACUUCCAGUCAGAGGGAGAGAGACGAACAACUUCCGGGUUUGUCAGCAGAAAAAUGUGUUGGCCGACAGUAACGUUUCACUGCGUGCGUCCGGCGACCACCACGACCACUGGAGGCAACCAGAGAUCCCCCGCGAGAAGCGCCUCGAUCCGAAAGAAUGUUUGGCUCGAGUUUGAAAGGCUGGACUUGAGAUGUAUAAUGUUUUGGAAAUUCGAAGCACCGACGUUUGAAAACGUGUCCACGGUUUAUAAAGACUGAUCACACGAGGCUAUUGAGAUACACAAGCACAAACCUCUUCCCACAGAGGCGCCGAAGCUCUGGUUGUACAGUCGGAGUGCUACCCAGAGCUAAUAAAAGAAGCAUCGGCGUCGUCGUAGCGGCGAGCAAAUGGCAUAUACGAUAUGAAAUCAGAGGGUGAAUGCCAUCUGAUUCCAGAGGGUUCUCCAUGCGUGUCAACGGGGGAAAAGGCCAUCACAGAGUUGGAUUGUUUCCCUCCGAAAAGAAAGGUGGAGGAUGCCUGACUGAAUGGAAGCAUCUGGUUCAGCGGUUCAUCUCCCAGCGUCCAGACCACUGGCGUGUUGAAGAUGGAUGGAGUGUCCUGGACAAGGGGGUUUAAAGUCCCCCUGAUUUGACAAUCACGCAUUCCAGGGGGGGACGGUUCUGCCUGGCCAAUGAUCUUUAUUGAGGAGAAGGAGUUAAAAGAAGCAUGUCAUUGCUCCCGUUUGAUGUCCUCUGCAUCCGGCUCACUUUCCGUGCCAGGAGCUGUGGUCAACGCCUUUUCCACAGAGCGCCUGAUCAAAAACGGGAUUUACGUCAGCUGCUCCGGUGAAUUGGCAAUAUUCUGCAAACUGAUGGUCAUUUGUGUACAAAUGUACUUGUCAGGAGACUAAAACUGUGUCCUGAACGCUGCUAUUGCUUCGGCUUAGUCGUGUUGAGAGGAUUUUGGAGAAUGCUGUGCUAAAAUUAGGCACAAAGCAUUGUUUUCUUUGGUGAAUUCUGAGGACAUGAUCAAACCCAAGGACAGUUGUUUGGGAAUAGUUGGCACAAUUAGACGACAUUUAUUAGUUAGCCAACAAUAUUUUCC
ensembl:lncRNA